rnacentral:lncRNA from 12 species
CUCUCCCAUGAAGACACAACACAUCUCCAGCAUUCCAAGUAUGUAAGAGUCUAUCACCUAAUAGGAGCCAAAUGUAAUUUUGUUGAUCUGAAGUAAAAUAGUUCUUCUAGUUAUUAUUCAGUCUUGCAAUGCUUAUGCUUUAUGCUGUAGGAAUUAUCAAAACAUCUGAAUUAUUUCUUUUUUUUAUAUUAUGAAAAUAGGAUAAUCAAUAACAUCUUUAGUAAUUUAUAAUUAGAGUUACUUGGUUUGGGGUACACAUGUUACGAAGUCAAAAGCAUAGAAGUGUAUACAGAAAAAAGCAAACUUCUUUCUAACCUCUUCUCCAGCUGCAUCUGUCUCACCUCAUCCUCUCCAGGGAUUUCUGUUAUCAUCAGUUUCUUGCAUAUCUUCAGAGGUAUUCUACAGAAUCCAGGGGUUGAACUAUGUCUGAAUAUGACUUCAAUUAUGGGAGUUGAGAAGAGACUACAUCUUGGCUACAAGUAAUUAAUACUCUGUAUUUUGGGGAAAUGAAAAAUGAUGAGCAAGCUGAAGGGUAAUUUAUGUAUAAGAAGAAAGGCAUGUUGCUGGAUCUGGAUCCCAAACCUAGGCAUGUUGCUGGAUCUGGAUCCCAAACCUAGAAGUUACGCAGUUAUCCUACCACGAGCACCAGCAUGAAGACAAGAUCAAGGACGGAUGUACAGAAAGAUUUAGGAAAACUACAUCCCAAAUUGACCCUUGAAUAAUGUAACUGUGCUCACAAAUCAACCAAUAUGGGGUCUGCUUUUCCUCUGGAUGUCAUAUGCUGUGAAAUAAUCUAUGUCCUAGAUGUUUAAGGUAAGUUAGCCCCUGUAUUAUGGGAGCAAUUGCUUACUUUAAAGUUCUAUAAAUUUGAAAAGUUCCUGCUUGCUUUCUACCCAAGCUAAAUUCAAGUAUCCCCAUUUGGAUAGAAGCAUGAAGAUCCUGAUGCUUCCUCAUUGUCCCUAUUUGAUAAAUGCACCUUCUUCUCACAGUCACUUCCAAGAGUACAUUAUGUGCUCUAGUUCUGCCCUAGGUCAGCUUUGUACAAUUAUCGUAACUGGAUUCUACUAGGUAGAUGUUUUUAUUUUUCUAAGUGUUAUAUAUUUUUUUUCUUUUUUAAAAAUCCAGGAUAUAAUACUUAUCAUCAUCUUAAGUUAUUGAGGUAUAAAAAUAAUAACCUCAAAUUUGACCUUCAUAAAAAUAUAUUCUUAUAGAAGAAUGUUUUAAAAUCUCCUCAUAUAGUCUUUGUAUUUUUUACUUUUUAUUAUCAAAUUCCUCUGUAUAUACACACAUGCACACACACCCUACCAUACUCUCUCUCUCACAUUCCUUUAAAUUUCAGCAAUUAUCCUUGUGCUGCCUGCAUAACUCGGAAAUGAAGGGAAUUAGAAUGUUAAGUGGAUUAAAAGGUUAAUUGCCUAAUUUUACUUUCUUUCCUGAAAAGACUAGUUUGACCUAUGCAAGUUUCCUUUUUGGAAGCUAGGAAUCUUUUGAAAUAUACUUGAAUGAAUUAGUUUUUAUCUUUCAAGUUAACUACUUUUACAUAAUACUUCUAAUGUUAGUUUCUUGGUAACUGAUAUUUUUCUGUCUUUUUCUGUUACCAUGUUUGGGAAAUUGUGAUCUCUAAACUUUGUUUCUAUUAACAAUUAUAUGAAGAAAAUAUUUUGGAAAAUGUCAUAAACAGCUGAAUAAGCCUAGCAUAUAUCUUAUUUUUUUCAAGAUGCCUCCUGGAAAUAAAUUAAAAUACCUGAAAAAUUAGAGAUAUUUC